UGCCCUGUGCCAGGCGAGAGGAAAGCGUUUCACAGGAUUCUGCCUGGGUGAGCCAGAGACUCCCUGGAGAGCGGUCCCGCCGCCCUCCACAGCCAGGGCCGCUCCUCUCUUGUUCUUAGCCCUGUGCACUGUUCCAGCACAGCUGUUCCCAAGCGCACGGCGGCUGCUCCCGCACUUCCACCGAGAAAAAGCUGAGGUCGGCGUAGCCGUGGAGAGGCCAAAAGCUGCUGUGAAGUACCACGAAUGACAGAAACUGGCUUAAGACAACAGAAAUGUAUCCUCCCCCAGUUCUGGAAGCCGGAAGUCUGAGACGAAGGCGUCAGCAGGGCUCUCAUCCAUUCGCCAUGCUGGGUCUGUCACGGCCUGAAUGCUUUCGUCCCCAACGUUCAUAGGAAGAGGCCCCUGAGACUCCAUCACCCCUUCCGCCACGUGAGGGCACAGCGAGAAGGCGCCAUCUGUGAGCCAGGAGCUGUUCUCCCCAGACGUCUAACCUGCCUUCGCCUUGGCCUCCCAGCCUCCAGAACUGUGUGUGUGGC
rnacentral:lncRNA from 1 species